rnacentral:lncRNA from 1 species
UGGCAUUGUAGGACAAACCCACUGAAGUCUUAUCUCUCUCAUUAGGAAGGCAGUUCGCAGAGUGCCAAGAACACAGUGUCUGCCAUGGGGGAGGAAGACAUGAGGGAGAAUGGCACGUAGUCUCUUCAUUCCAAGACUAUCUUUCUUAGGACUCUACUAAACACAAUUAAGUAUUUCAGUUUGUGUUUACUAAAGACUGAGAUAGAGGUUCAUUUGAAUAUGGACAAGUUGCCUUGUGAAAAUGUGGAGCUCUUUUUAGGAUGAGAAAAACCUGCUUUAGUUCCACUGGGAUGUUUAGUAAUGGAAGAGCUCAGGGUAACACUGAAAGCCAAGCAAGGGACACUAGAUGAAGAAGAAAAGACCCUUGGAUGAGGUUUUAGUGAGGUGUGAUGGAGAAUGGUGGCA